CGAAAUGCGAUAAGUAAUGCGAAUUGCAGAAUUCAGUGAGUCAUCGAAUCUUUGAACGCAUAUUGCG
rnacentral:rRNA from 1 species